UCCGGGAUCUGGCUGGCUGGCGCUUUGUCUGGCCUUGGCCGCAGUAGGCUCUUUCUGGUAGUCUCGCUGCUACUUCUUGGCUCUGGGAGGCCCAGGUGGCUCUGCAGCAGCCUCUGCCACCCUGUGACCUGCGGUUAAUGGGACAUCCCUAGCUGACGCCGGGACACCCGGGAAGCCGAGGAGUGGACUCUGUGGCUUUUGAGGAUGUGGCUGUGAACUUUACCCAGGAGGAAUGGGCUUUGCUAGAUUCUUCUCAGAAGAAUCCCUGCAUAGAAGUGAUGCAGGAAACCUGCAGGAACCUGGCUUCUGUAGAAAUCAUAUGGUACAGAGACUGUGUGAAAGCAAAGAAGGUAGUCAGUAUGAUGGACAAGUUGUUAGCCAAAUUCCAAAUCUUGAUCUGAAUGAGAACAUUUCUACUGGAUGAAAACAAUGUGAAUGUAGUGUUUGUGGAAAAGUCUUUGUACAUCAUUCCCUCCUUGGAACAGGC